rnacentral:SRP_RNA from 1 species
GCCAGAGGUGGUAGCCCAUGCUAUAAUCCUAGCUACUGGGGAGGCUGAGGUUAGUGGAUCUCUUGAGCCAUAUUGCUGUAAGCCAAUAGGGUGUCCUCAUUAGAUCUGGCCAAUAUGGUUAGUCUCUGGGAUCAGAGAGCCACCAAGUUGCCUAAGAAGGGGUGGACCAGCCCAGGUUGGAAACAGAGCUGGUAAAAAAUCCCAAGCCAGUUAGCAGUGGGAUUCUGCUAUGACUAGCUUCUGCACUUCCAGCCUAACCAAUAUAGGAAUACUCAGUCUUA